GAUGAACGCUGGCGGCGUGCCUAAUACAUGCAAGUCGAGCGAACAGACGAGGAGCUUGCUCCUUUGACGUUAGCGGCGGACGGGUGAGUAACACGUAGGUAACCUACCUAUAAGACUGGGAUAACUUCGGGAAACCGGAGCUAAUACCGGAUAAUAUUUCGAACCGCAUGGUUCGAUAGUGAAAGAUGGCUUUGCUAUCACUUAUAGAUGGACCUGCGCCGUAUUAGCUAGUUGGUAAGGUAACGGCUUACCAAGGCAACGAUACGUAGCCGACCUGAGAGGGUGAUCGGCCACACUGGAACUGAGGCACGGUCCAGACUCCUACGGGAGGCAGCAGUAGGGAAUCUUCCGCAAAGGGCGAAAGCCUGACGGAGCAACGCCGCGUGAGUGAUGAAGGUCUUCGGAUCGUAAAACUCUGUUAUUAGGGAAGAACAAACGUGUAAGUAACUGUGCACGUCUUGACGGUACCUAAUCAGAAAGCCACGGCUAACUACGUG
rnacentral:rRNA from 1 species